rnacentral:rRNA from 2 species
UACGUAGGUGGCAAGCGUUGUCCGGAAUUAUUGGGCGUAAAGCGCGCGCAGGCGGUUCCUUAAGUCUGAUGUGAAAGCCCCCGGCUCAACCGGGGAGGGUCAUUGGAAACUGGGGAACUUGAGUACUGAAGAGGAAAGCGGAAUUCCACGUGUAGCGGUGAAAUGCGUAGAGAUGUGGAGGAACACCAGUGGCGAAGGCGGCUUUCUGGUCAGUAACUGACGCUGAGGCGCGAAAGCGUGGGGAGCAAACAGG